UACGAAGGGGGCUAGCGUUGCUCGGAAUUACUGGGCGUAAAGCGCACGUAGGCGGCUUUCUAAGUCGGGGGUGAAAUCCUGGAGCUCAACUCCAGAACUGCCUUCGAUACUGGAGAGCUCGAGUCCGGGAGAGGUGAGUGGAACUGCGAGUGUAGAGGUGAAAUUCGUAGAUAUUCGCAAGAACACCGGUGGCGAAGGCGGGUCUCUGGGCCGAUACUGACGCUGAGGAGCGAAAGCGUGGGGAGCGAACAGG
rnacentral:rRNA from 1 species